GGCUGAUCAAAGAAGCAGCUGCACAGGGGGCCAAAGUUGUGUCUUACCUGAGUGCUUCAACUCCCCCUAUGGAACUAGCUUCUUCCCUGAGUAUGCAGAGAAGAUCCCUGGAGAGUCCAGUCAGGUUCUGUCUGAGGCAGCAAGGAGAGCCAGGUGUAUCUGGUGGAGGCUCCAUCCCUGAGGAGGAUGAUGGAGGAAGCUGUUAUAACACCUGUCCAGUGUUUGGACCUGAUGGCAGCCUGGUGCUCAAACACAGGAAGGUAAGAAACAGGAACCUGGUGCUCAAACACAGGAAGGUAGGAACCUGGUGCUCACACACAGGAAGGAGGAACAGAACCUGGUGCUCAAACACAGGG